rnacentral:rRNA from 1 species
AUAGUCACACGAGUUUGAUCAUGGCUCAGAAUGAACGUUGGCGGCGUGGAUUAGGCAUGCAAGUCGCGCGACAAGGUUCCUUCGGGGACUGGAGGAGCGGCAAACGGGGUAGUAAGGCAUCGGAACGUACCCUCUCGUCUGGGAUAGCCACGGGAAACUGUGAGUAAUACCGGAUGAUAUCGAGAGAUCAAAGGUCCGCCGCGAGGGGAGCGGCCGAUGUGAUACCAGCUAGUUGGUGAGGUAAUGGCUCACCAAGGCUUAGACGUCUAGGGGGUGUGAGAGCAUGGCCCCCACCACUGGGACUGAGAUACUGCCCAGACACCUACGGGUGGCUGCAGUCGAGAAUCUUCGGCAAUGGGCGCAAGCCUGACCGAGCAACGCCGCGUGCGGGAUGAAGGCCCUUGGGUUGUAAACCGCUGUCAGGGGGGAUGAAACCGUAAGGUUGACAGAGCCCCAGAGGAAGCACGGGCUAAGUUCGUG